GGUGAACGCUGGCGGCGUGCUUAAGACAUGCAAGUCGAACGGCAGUCUUCGGACUGUAGUGGCGCACGGGUGAGUAACGCGUAACUGACCUACCCCAAAGUCGCGGAUAACGAUUCGAAAGAAUCGCUAAUACGUGCUGUGCUGUCAGAUUGUGUUCUGCCAGUAAAGAUUGAUUGCUUUGGGAUGGGGUUGCGUUCCAUCAGCUAGUUGGUGGGGUAAAGGCCCACCAAGGCGACGACGGAUAGCCGGCCUGAGAGGGUGGCCGGCCACAGGGGCACUGAGACACGGGUCCCACUCCUACGGGAGGCAGCAGUUAGGAAGCUUCCACAAUGGGCGAAAGCCUGAUGGAGCGACGCCACGUGAGGGAUGAAGGUCUUCGGAUCGUAAACCUCUGAAUCAGGGACGAAAGACACUUCGGUGGGAUGACGGUACCUGAGUAAUAGCACCGGCUAACUCCGUGCCAGCCGCCGCGGUAAUAC
rnacentral:rRNA from 1 species